AACAGCUUGGAAUAGCUUUGACUAUCUCCCACAGGGGUCUGAGGUAGCUUCUGAGGGCCUUGCCCCGGGUCCUAACUCAGGCCAAGCUCGACCCUAGAGUUAGCUCGUUUGCUCAGGGCGAGGCUGGACCUGCCUGGUACAGCCUCCACUGGGGUCAGAAGGUUCACCAGAGCGGGUCUGCUUCUUAGCUCCUGGAUGGACUGUUGACAGGACUGAUGUCCUCAGAAGCUGUUGGCCUGAGGGCCUCAGAUGCUCCUGCCUGGGGUCUGAAGACCGCCCUCCGAGCCACAGGGCUCGAGAACACCAUUUCUGGCUUUCAUCCAUGUGAGCAGCGAUAGAGCCGGUGAGAGCUGGCCAGACGGCUCUCUCACCUUAGCAGCCCACACUGGAGAAUCUGGGUGGCAUCUGAACACAGGGCUCUCGGGGGUCACCGCAAAGUGCCACCUAACACAACCCGUAAGCCGGGUGUCCCAAGGAGGGGCCGAGCAGACGGGCACUGGUUUCUCUAAGUCAGGGCCUCUGUAGAGAAGACACUGGGAGAUAACGUUUACAGAGAGGCGUGCUGAGCCGGAAUCUAAUAAGAAAUGGACAGCAUGAAAAAGAAGUCGUCAAGAUGUAGCUGUAGCGUAGGCUGCGGGUGAGACUGACGCCACAGGCGCCGGGGAUACGGAAACAGAAGGGAAGGAACUGAGACCUGGAGAUGCGGGGUCACAUUCCGUGUCCAUUCUCAGGAAGACCGAUCCCUGAGGUGUUUCCCCACGGAGCCGGAGCCGACCAUGACGUAAACAGCGAAGGAUUUGGGGCCACGUUCCUGAUAGUCCCCCUCCGGACUACUUGACAAGGGGGGUGGAGCUGAGUAGUUCCUGGAAUCAUCUAUCACCCCAGACAUCACAUUUAGAACUAUGCAAAUAAUUCAGACGCUACAACGCAAGCCCUAAAUAGACCUUAAACCCACACACAACUUACUUGUGUCCAGAUCCGUGGACUGUGUCCCUUUAAAUGUCCUUUCCAUU